CGGAGGAUCCAAGCGUUGUCCGGAUUUAUUGGGUUUAAAGGGUGCGUAGGCGGGUUAUUAAGUCAGUGGUGAAAGCCGGCAGCUCAACUGUCGAACUGCCAUUGAAACUGAUAGCCUAGAAUGUAGUAGAGGUAGGCGGAAUGUAUCAUGUAGCGGUGAAAUGCUUAGAUAUGAUACAGAACACCAAUUGCGAAAGCAGCUUACUAUGCUAUUAUUGACGCUGAGGCACGAAAGCGUGGGGAUCAAACAGGAUUAGAUACCCUGGUAGUCCACGCUGUAAACGUUGAAUACUCGAUGUUGGCGAUACACAGUCAGCGUCCAAGAGAAAUCGUUAAGUAUUCCACCUGGGGAGUACGCUCGCAAGAGUG
rnacentral:rRNA from 1 species